UACGUAGGGCGCAAGCGUUAUCCGGAAUUAUUGGGCGUAAAGAGCUCGUAGGCGGUUUGUCGCGUCUGCCGGGAAAGUCCGGGGCUCAACUCCGGAUCUGCGGUGGGUACGGGCAGACUAGAGUGAUGUAGGGGAGACUGGAAUUCCUGGUGUAGCGGUGAAAUGCGCAGAUAUCAGGAGGAACACCGAUGGCGAAGGCAGGUCUCUGGGCAUUAAUUGACGCUGAGGAGCGAAAGCAUGGGGAGCGAACAGG
rnacentral:rRNA from 1 species